rnacentral:rRNA from 1 species
GGCAUGGUUGUCGUCAGCUCGUGUCGUGAGAUGUUGGGUUAAGUCCCGCAACGAGCGCAACCCUUAUUGCUAGUUACCAUCAUUGAGUUGGGGACUCUAGCGAGACUGCCAGUGAUAAACUGGAGGAAGGUGGGGAUGACGUCAAAUCAUCAUGCCCCUUAUGACCUGGGCUACAAACGUGAUACAAUGGCUGAAACAGAGGGAGGCGAAGGGGUGACCUGGAGCGAAACCCAGAAAAACAGUCUCAGUUCGGAUUGAAGUCUGCAACUCGACUUCAUGAAGUCGGAAUCGCUAGUAAUCGCGGAUCAGAACGCCGCGGUGAAUACGUUCUCGGGGUUU